rnacentral:rRNA from 1 species
UUAAGCGACUAAGCGUACACGGUGGAUGCCCUGGCAGUCAGAGGCGAUGAAGGGCGUGCUAAUCUGCGAUAAGCGCCGGUAAGGUGAUAUGAACCGUUAUAACCGGCGAUACCCGAAUGGGGAAACCCAGUGUGACUCGUCACACUAUCAUUAACUGAAUCCAUAGGUUAAUGAGGCGAACCGGGGGAACUGAAACAUCUAAGUACCCCGAGGAAAAGAAAUCAACCGAGAUUCCCCCAGUAGCGGCGAGCGAACGGGGAGGAGCCCAGAGCCUGAAUCAGCAUGUGUGUUAGUGGAAGCGUCUGGAAAGGCGCGCGAUACAGGGUGACAGCCCCGUACACAAAAGCGCAUGUGCUGUGAGCUCGAUGAGUAGGGCGGGACACGUGGUAUCCUGUCUGAAUAUGGGGGGACCAUCCUCCAAGGCUAAAUACUCCUGACUGACCGAUAGUGAACCAGUACCGUGAGGGAAAGGCGAAAAGAACCCCGGCGAGGGGAGUGAAAAAGAACCUGAAACCGUGUACGUACAAGCAGUGGGAGCACAGGUUUACCUGUGUGACUGCGUACCUUUUGUAUAAUGGGUCAGCGACUUAUAUUCUGUAGCAAGGUUAACCGAAUAGGGGAGCCGGAGGGAAACCGAGUCUUAAUUGGGCGUUAAGUUGCAGGGUAUAGACCCGAAACCCGGUGAUCUAGCCAUGGGCAGGUUGAAGGUUGGGUAACACUAACUGGAGGACCGAACCGACUAAUGUUGAAAAAUUAGCGGAUGACCUGUGGCUGGGGGUGAAAGGCCAAUCAAACCGGGAGAUAGCUGGUUCUCCCCGAAAGCUAUUUAGGUAGCGCCUCGUGAACUCAUCUCCGGGGGUAGAGCACUGUUUCGGCUAGGGGGCCAUCCCGGCUUACCAACCCGAUGCAAACUGCGAAUACCGGAGAAUGUUAUCACGGGAGACACACGGCGGGUGCUAACGUCCGUCGUGAAGAGGGAAACAACCCAGACCGCCAGCUAAGGUCCCAAAGUCAUGGUUAAGUGGGAAACGAUGUGGGAAGGCCCAGACAGCCAGGAUGUUGGCUUAGAAGCAGCCAUCAUUUAAAGAAAGCGUAAUAGCUCACUGGUCGAGUCGGCCUGCGCGGAAGAUGUAACGGGGCUAAACCAUGCACCGAAGCUGCGGCAGCGACGCUGAUGCGUUGUUGGGUAGGGGAGCGUUCUGUAAGCCUGUGAAGGUGUGUCGUGAGGCAUGCUGGAGGUAUCAGAAGUGCGAAUGCUGACAUAAGUAACGAUAAAGCGGGUGAAAAGCCCGCUCGCCGGAAGACCAAGGGUUCCUGUCCAACGUUAAUCGGGGCAGGGUGAGUCGACCCCUAAGGCGAGGCCGAAAGGCGUAGUCGAUGGGAAACGGGUUAAUAUUCCCGUACUUGGUGUUACUGCGAAGGGGGGACGGAGAAGGCUAUGUUGGCCGGGCGACGGUUGUCCCGGUUUAAGCGUGUAGGUGUGUGUUCCAGGUAAAUCCGGUUCACUUUAACACUGAGGCGUGACGACGAGGCACUACGGUGCUGAAGCAACAAAUGCCCUGCUUCCAGGAAAAGCCUCUAAGCAUCAGGUAACAUCAAAUCGUACCCCAAACCGACACAGGUGGUCAGGUAGAGAAUACCAAGGCGCUUGAGAGAACUCGGGUGAAGGAACUAGGCAAAAUGGUGCCGUAACUUCGGGAGAAGGCACGCUGACACGUAGGUGAAGUGAUUUACUCAUGGAGCUGAAGUCAGUCGAAGAUACCAGCUGGCUGCAACUGUUUAUUAAAAACACAGCACUGUGCAAACACGAAAGUGGACGUAUACGGUGUGACGCCUGCCCGGUGCCGGAAGGUUAAUUGAUGGGGUCAGCGCAAGCGAAGCUCCUGAUCGAAGCCCCGGUAAACGGCGGCCGUAACUAUAACGGUCCUAAGGUAGCGAAAUUCCUUGUCGGGUAAGUUCCGACCUGCACGAAUGGCGUAAUGAUGGCCAGGCUGUCUCCACCCGAGACUCAGUGAAAUUGAACUCGCUGUGAAGAUGCAGUGUACCCGCGGCAAGACGGAAAGACCCCGUGAACCUUUACUAUAGCUUGACACUGAACAUUGAGCCUUGAUGUGUAGGAUAGGUGGGAGGCUUUGAAGUGUGGACGCCAGUCUGCAUGGAGCCGACCUUGAAAUACCACCCUUUAAUGUUUGAUGUUCUAACGUGGACCCGUAAUCCGGGUUGCGGACAGUGUCUGGUGGGUAGUUUGACUGGGGCGGUCUCCUCCUAAAGAGUAACGGAGGAGCACGAAGGUUGGCUAAUCCUGGUCGGACAUCAGGAGGUUAGUGCAAUGGCAUAAGCCAGCUUGACUGCGAGCGUGACGGCGCGAGCAGGUGCGAAAGCAGGUCAUAGUGAUCCGGUGGUUCUGAAUGGAAGGGCCAUCGCUCAACGGAUAAAAGGUACUCCGGGGAUAACAGGCUGAUACCGCCCAAGAGUUCAUAUCGACGGCGGUGUUUGGCACCUCGAUGUCGGCUCAUCACAUCCUGGGGCUGAAGUAGGUCCCAAGGGUAUGGCUGUUCGCCAUUUAAAGUGGUACGCGAGCUGGGUUUAGAACGUCGUGAGACAGUUCGGUCCCUAUCUGCCGUGGGCGCUGGAGAACUGAGGGGGGCUGCUCCUAGUACGAGAGGACCGGAGUGGACGCAUCACUGGUGUUCGGGUUGUCAUGCCAAUGGCACUGCCCGGUAGCUAAAUGCGGAAGAGAUAAGUGCUGAAAGCAUCUAAGCACGAAACUUGCCCCGAGAUGAGUUCUCCCUGAGACUUAGAGUCUCCUGAAGGAACGUUGAAGACGACGACGUUGAUAGGCCGGGUGUGUAAGCGCAGCGAUGCGUUGAGCUAACCGGUACUAAUGAACCGUGAGGCUUAACCUU